rnacentral:rRNA from 1 species
UGAGUUUGAUCCUGGCUCAGAAUGAACGCUAGCAAUAGGUUUUAUACAUGUUAAUUGAACGCUUUUUAGUGUAGUGAAUAGGUGAGUAGCACGCAAGAAACUGCCUUUCAGUUUGGAAUAAAAUGCCAAAUAAAAAAAGAUUUAUAUCGCUGAAAGAUGUGCUUGUGCAAGAUUAGGUUGUUGGUGAGGUAAAGGCUCACCAAGCCUACGAUCUUUAGUUGAUUUGAAAGAAUGUUCAACCACACAGGGACUGAGACAAGGCCCUGGCUUUUUUAAAGCCAGCAGUAGGGAAUAUUGGACAAUGAGCGAAAGCUUGAUCCAGCUAUAUUGCGUGAGGGAUGACAGCUUAUUUGGUUGUAAACCUCUUUUAUUAAGAAAGAUGAUGACUUACUUAAAGAAAAAGUCCUGGCUAAUUUCGUGCCAGCAGCCGCGGUAAUACGAAAAGGGCAAGCGUUAUUCGUUGUAAUUUGGUGUAAAGGGUUCGUAGGCGGCAUUAAGGUUGUUCAAGAUUAAAUUAAAAAGCUCAACUUUUUCUCAAACUUGAAAACACUUUUGCUAGAGUAUAAAGGAAGAUUAUGGAAUUUCAAAAGGAGAGGUAAAAUUCGAAGAGCUUUGAAGGAACACCUAUAGCGAAGGCAAUAAUCUAUUUUAUUAAAUACUGACGUUGAGGAACGAAAGGAUAGGGAGCAAACAGGAUUAGAUACCCUGGUAGUCUAUCCCGUAAACGAUGAGUGCUCGUGUUUAGAACUUUUUAUGUUUUAGACACCUAGCUAACGCGUUAAGCACUCCACCUGAGGAGUAUAGUCGCAAGGCUGGAACUCAAAGGAAUUGACGGGGGCUAACACAAGUGGUGGAACAUGUGGUUUAAUGCGAUAAUACGCGCGAAAUCUUACCAACUUUUGAAUUUUAAAUGAUCUCGAAUUCUACGAGUUAUUGUAAAUAUGUGUCUACAAUAAACGUUUAAAACAGGUGUUGCAUGGCUGUCGUCAGCUCGUGUUGUGAAAUGUUUGGUUAA